rnacentral:rRNA from 1 species
UACACCUUACGAUACUAAUUGAGGAGGAUACGAUGGUGAAAGCUCAAGUAGAGUAGAGUAGAGUGCUCUCUUUUUCCACUUUACAUAACACGACUUUCCGAUGUUUAUAAGCCGGCGUUGUCCGCCUCGCCGACGGAACGGAACGAAACGGGGCGGGGUUGACGGCGAUCUAAAGUCCUCGGGCGAAGCCGGCGCAGCGAAGCGACGAGGCGGGGGUGUUGCGUGCGCGGGUGGAAGGAAGGAAGGGUCGGCAGGCUAGCGGGUGUGCACCGGCGCGGCGGGCGGGAUGUGGUGUGCGCUGGGGCGGCUGCGGCGAUGGAAAAGAGGAGGCCGCCUCCGCCGGCCUCGCCGGAUCCCAAGGCCGCUCAGGGACGAGGCCCGGGUUAGUAGCCAGCUCGACCUCCUGUGCGCAUCGGGGCCGAAGAAGACGCCGCUGGAGACCACGCCGGAGUACCUCGGGUUCGGGUUGUGGCGCGAGCGGGUGUUCGCAUAGGAAACGAGGAACAGGUAGGUAGGCCUCGACCUAGGCUAUGUACUAGAGCCCGAACCCAAACAGAACAAGAACCUAGCCACCUUAAGCAGGCACAAGACUAAACAAAAGUAAAAGAUUGAUAGGGUCACGACCACUCAACCCGCCAAGGUAACGGUAGAUCGAGGUAACAAAGAGAAACUAGGCAGUCUCUAUGAUGUCAUGACAAAAGCUAGUUUUAAGAGCUAAAAAAAACAAAGAUAAAACAAAGAUAAAAAAGUCAAACCAUGAUCGCAAAGACGAAAAGUAGCUGUCCGCAGACACGAGUUGGACUAAAGAGUAGAAAGAAAUGUGAACAAAUUAAAUUUCGUAACCUUUUCGAAAACGAGACUAGACCGAAAUUCCCUGAAAAACUAGACACGCACGAGGAAGUCUAGUGCCAAAGUUUUAUUUAUUUACCACCUAGUACAACGACUUAAUAGCAACUCACGCAUCGUAAAAAGUACCUAUCAAGCUGGGUCAAGUUAGACGAUAACUGUAUUAACUCAAAGCGGCAGGAUGUUAUGGUACCGUCCAGAGACAACAAAAUAUAAGUCUUAAUCUUAACAAUCCAUAGGGAGUGUACAGCCUAAAAGUCUCUACCACUCUCGACUCGGUUGAGGGUAAAUAACUGUCGAUGUGGUUAUUAUACCAAACACAUGAAUGCCUAUGCCAACGACGACGUACGACAAACGCUUUGUACUUGAGCAAGUUCAUUACCAGAGAAGUGAGCUAGUCUACUAGCGACAUCUAGAAGACUAAACUACUGGAGUAACUUCCGUUAAUAACACGUAAUAACCUGAGUCCUGUAAAAUUAGAUAGUUAGACCCGAACGACCGAAUAAAAUAAGAGUGAGUACCUGCUACCGGAAAGUUCGUAUAUAAGACAAACGUUCGGAACUGAAAACAUAGAAGGUCGAUAUCUUCUCCGUCAUCUCUUGAACUUCUAACUACGAUCGUGCUUCCGUUCGUUGCCGUUGAACGGACGACGUUUUCUGCGUCCAAGAAGCCUACGUUAUAGUACGUAAAGGAGCCGUCUACGUCGAUCAUGACGGCGGUUCCUAUGACUCUACUUGGUUCCUCGAAUAUACCCCCUGGUUCCCUACAUAAUGAUGCCCAUGAUAAUAGGUCCGAGUAAACCUCCUACCCUACUCUCAUCGAUGAUACGACCUAGCUUACCUGACCUCUACGUUGGCUGUCAGCAAGUUCGACUCUUACCCAGAAUAAACACAAUACAAGGCCCAAUGCUUUUACCUAUAUGACGAAUAUCAGGUCAGCAAGGACCUUGACCGCACCUAUCAGUCAUACAGUCGUUUCUCGGUAUAAUGAGACGACACUAAGGACACGUCCUGGGAAGAUGUGGACCGUACAUACGAGUUGGUUAACGAAUGCCUGGACUCGAUCAGGGGCGUAUGUGUACCCUGGGAAUACAAGAAGACCUACCCCAAGUCCCUGAAGGACAACCGCACGUCGUUUGCUUGAUGGGAUGUUCUAGUUUGAUGGGAAGGUUAUUCGUACGACAAGGUAGAAGUUUUCGAAGUGCGUCGUGUUUCAUACGUAGCCCAUGGUGGUUUCCUAGUAGUAGUCGACAUCUGUGUCACGGUUGGAGACGGUUAUUGGUAGGUAGUAGUUUCAAACGUUUAUUCCGUAGGCCACGAAGGUAUUGUUUUCCCGUAGAAGGCAGGUCGUUCAAACACCACGUAUGAUUGGUUCCCUUUCCUUCGGAAAUAGUUUCAUUUCCGUAAUUAAACUUACUUUCACCAUCUUUGACGUUGCCCUUACUCUUCGACUUCCGGUCUUCGUUCGAUUUACUUAAACCAUUGGCACUGUAUAGUCUAUUUGUGUUACUACUCAGUUUUUUGUCAAACUCGGGUCCUCGUCUAGCAAAACCUAACAGUCCACAUGUCCUCCAAUUGCUACUGUAUGGAAGUGAACAACGUCAUUCUUCUCUAAGUAUAUUAGAAGGACUAAAACAAUGCUUCAUACUCGUUCGAAAUAAGAAGCACUAAUUUAGAAUAUCACUUCUACUAUAAGUGUUCUCAUAGUUCAUGUUACAAACCCGUUCAUGAGGAUUACCUUUAUUUUCCGAACUGUUACGGAUAUUUUAACGUGUUCUUUCUUACCGUCCUUUUCCUUGGUUUACGGGACAAAAGGAGAAGAAAAGACAAUUACGAUCACCAGUCAAGACACCACACCGACUCUACGAACCGGGUCAUCUAAAGUUGUUCUCAUACUUGAAGACCGUUGUCCUGUUCACCUUACCUAAGAAGGGUCAUUUUACCGUGUAAUAGUUCCUACACGGAUUAGGAGUUAAAGCUGUGUAUUAUAACCUCUUAUUACUCUUGUUCGGACAAUGUUUGUCGUCCCUGUGAGUUCUCCAGUUCAAAGAUGUUCCACGUCUCUACGACUUGUAAAAGUUCUUGAAGAGUACAUUUUGCAGUUAUAACCUACUGAAACUGAAGAUACUCUUAUCCGUCUUUCAUUACGUCCUGUCUUCUCCGUUCGGCGAAUGCUGUAGUAACCUAGUGGAGUGCGGUUUCCUACUCUUUGGCCGUCUCAGACUUUUCGUUCGAGUUAGACGUUCAUCGCAUCUCGUAGUAUUACGGUUCUCUUUACUCCUCGUCUCGUUGCUACAAUGUUGUCUAGAACUAUGUCGGUUCUCUCCAGUCCUAGUCUCGUUGCACCAACGUCGUCUACAACUACGUCGGUUCUGUUCACUCGUCUCGUUUCCCCAACGUUGUCUAAAACUAUGUCGGUUCUGUUCACUCGUCUCGUUUCUCCAACGUUGUCUAGAACUACGUCGGUUCUCUUCGCUCCUCUGGUUGCCCCACUGUCGUCUACAACUAUGUAGGUUCUCUUCGUUCCUUGUCUCGUUGUACCAGCGACGCUUCGAACUAUGUCGGUUCUUUUCGCUCCUCGUCUGGUCGUCACAACGACGCCGUCCGACUAAUGUCCUACCCGCGUAGACUUGCCUUCGAUGUAGGUUUAGCCCGCUGUUAUUUGAACGAUGCACCUCGUGACUAUCUACCAGUUAGUAGGACCUUCGAGGACAGGUAGCUAGUUCGCCUUUUACUCUCGGAACCUCGGUAGAAGGGCACUCUUUAUAAAAGUUACUGGCCCUUUUUUCCAAAGGCUCCGUAUAGUACCAACCAUCUCUUAAGAGGUAUGAUGUGAGGAACAGAUAAAAAGUCGGUCCUCCUCCCUCACAAAGUUGGUAAAAAGAAGAACAAUAACAAAGAAGACAGCAGCAGCAGCAGCAGCAGAUUACAGGUCAAGAUAACGAUUACACAACCCUUCGUCUGGUGAACGGCACACCAAAAUUCCCGGACAAAAUCCACGAUCGUUUCCAUCUUUUUCCUUCCCUUUUUUUCUCGACCUUUUCAAGGUGGACGCAAAAAUAAGGUGAUCCCAUCUAACUGGAGUCAAACAUGAUAGUCUUAAUGAUGAAGGUAACUGCUCUUUUCCUCUUUUUUUUCCCUGGCCUCUAGACAAGUAGUUGUCUAGAGGCAAGCAAUGGCACGUCGGAAAGCAAAAGCGAAACGAACAAAGACCAGGCUUUACCCGCAAACUAGGCCCGUACACACCGGCACCGGACCGGACACAACGUUUCGCCACGCCGAGGAAAGGCCUUCCUAAAACUAGCUGCCUCUCUUUAGUGCAGGUCAGAAAAGACCUUCCCUCCGGUGUACCGACGGACGAACAAGAGCCGAGUGGGGAC